rnacentral:lncRNA from 1 species
CUCGAGUCUUAUUCUCCCCCCACACCUUCACUCUGUGUAAGGUUUGCUGAAUUGCUUCGUCCUCGUCAAACCACUCUGUGUUCUCACACACCUCUGGAUAUUCCAUCUUCCCCCGCUCCUCUCUCCUCCAGCGAGGGCUUUAAAGCCUGUGGACUCAGCUCAGCCAUAAGCUUCUCAGUGCAGCCUUUGCUUCAUCCCGGAUGGGGCAGGCGGCUCUUUGACAUGCUAAGCCCUCAGUUGGUUGUGACCUUUUGUUUCUCCCACUUGAUUAAAAGUGAGUCUCAACAGUUCAUUCACUGCCUAUCAUCUUCCUGGUUACUUGAUAAAUAAGCUUUUAUUAAAUGAAUCCAUUGGUGACAUUGUCAGGUAGGAAGCAGUUUAUCUAGACAACAGUUAAUGUCAUUUUAUCCU